UACGUAGGGGGCUAGCGUUGUUCGGAUUUACUGGGCGUAAAGGGUGCGUAGGCGGUCUUGUGCGUCGGUGCUGAAAGCGCCCGGCUUAACCGGGCGAGGCGUGCCGAUACGAUAAGACUGGAGGGGCAGCGAGGGUGGCGGAACUCCUGGUGUAGUGGUGAAAUGCGUAGAGAUCAGGAAGAACACCCGUGGCGCAAGCGGCCACCUGGCUGCCAACUGACGCUGAGGCACGAGAGCGUGGGGAGCGAACCGG
rnacentral:rRNA from 1 species